AAGUCGUAACAAGGUCUCCGUUGGUGAACCAGCGGAGGGAUCAUUAAAGAGUUAUCUAACUCCCAAAACCAUGUGAACUUACCUAUGUUGCCUCGGCGGGGGAACCUACGCGGGAGGGCUACUCUUAGAGUAGCCUGCCCGGUACCUAACCCGGUAGCCACGCUCUGCGUGGUUGUAGGCUUACCCGCCGGCGGACCAUUCAAACUCUUUAUUAUUUUGGCACUUCUGAGUUAUUAUCAUAAUAAGUUAAAACUUUCAACAACGGAUCUCUUGGUUCUG
rnacentral:misc_RNA from 1 species